rnacentral:rRNA from 1 species
GACAGAGGGUGCAAACGUUGUUCGGAAUUACUGGGCGUAAAGGGCUCGUAGGCGGCCAACUAAGUCAUACGUGAAAUCCCUCAGCUUAACUGGGGAACUGCGUGUGAUACUGGAUGGCUUGGAUUUGGGAGAGGGAUGUGGAAUUCCAGGUGUAGCGGUGAAAUGCGUAGAUAUCUGGAGGAACACCGGUGGCGAAGGCGGCAUCCUGGACCGAGAUUGACGCUGAUGCGCGAAAGCCAGGGGAGCAAACGGG